GCAAACUUGGUCAUUUAGAGGAAGUAAAAGUCGUAACAAGGUUUCCGUAGGUGAACCUGCGGAAGGAUCAUUAUUGAAUAACUCGAUGGGUUGUCGCUGGCUCUUUGGAGCAUGUGCACGCCUGUCUUGAUUUCAUUCAUCCACCUGUGCACCAUUUGUAGUCUUGGGGGAGUGGCUGGCUUGUCAGGAAUGACAUUCCUGGAUGUGAGGACUGCAGUGCGAAAGCAUUGGCUUUUCCUCUAUAAGCCAUGAACCCAGGACUAUGUGAUUUUUCAUACACUACAUAGCAUGUUACAGAAUGUAUUACAUGGGCCUCUGUGCCUAUAUAAUUGUAUACAACUUUCAGCAACGGAUCUCUUGGCUCUCGCAUCGAUGAAGAACGCAGC
rnacentral:misc_RNA from 1 species